rnacentral:rRNA from 1 species
UACGGAGGAUCCAAGCGUUAUCCGGAUUUAUUGGGUUUAAAGGGUGCGUAGGCGGCCUGUUAAGUCAGGGGUGAAAGACGGUAGCUCAACUAUCGCAGUGCCCUUGAUACUGAUGGGCUUGAAUAGACUAGAGGUAGGCGGAGUGUGACAAGUAGCGGUGAAAUGCAUAGAUAUGUCACAGAACACCGAUUGCGAAGGCAGCUUACUAUGGUCUUAUUGACGCUGAGGCACGAAAGCGUGGGGAUCAAACAGG